rnacentral:lncRNA from 1 species
UUUGGAAAGAGGGCCUAUAAACAGGCAAUUUGUGUACAGGGAGACAAAAAUCCUAGUAAGAGGAGAUUGUCAAGAAAACAAAGAAAAAGCUAUGAAGAAAAAGUCCUAUUGAUUUUAAUUCCACUACUGUCAUUAUGUCUUCAAGCCUCUCAUCUCCUGCUGUCGGAUAAAAGUGAUUGGCUUGUUCAGUCCUUUGAACUUGGAUAAACUGACUGAGAACGGGACAUAGUCGUACG